GACGAACGCUGGCGGCGUGCUUAACACAUGCAAGUCGAACGGUGAAGCGCCUUCCUUUUUGGUGGGUGUGGAUGAGUGGCGAACGGGUGAGUAACACGUGAGUAACCUGCCCCCUUCUUCUGGAUAACCGCAUGAAAGUGUGGCUAAUACGGGAUAUUCUGGGUCUGUCGCAUGAUGGGUCUGGGAAAGAUAUUGUUUCGGUGGGGGAUGGGCUCGCGGCCUAUCAGCUUGUUGGUGGGUGAUGGCCUACCAAGGCGGUGACGGGUAGCCGGCCUGAGAGGGUGGACGGUCACACUGGGACUGAGACACGGCCCAGACUCCUACGGGAGGCAGCAGUGGGGAAUAGUGCACAAUGGGCGCAAGCCUGAUGCAGCGACGCCGCGUGAGGGAUGGAGGCCUUCGGGUUGUGAACCUCUUUCGCCAGUGAAGCAGGCCUGCCUCGUUUGUGGGUGGGUUGACGGUAGCUGGAGAAGAAGCGCCGGCUAACUACGUG
rnacentral:rRNA from 1 species